UUCACACCAUCGCAUUGUCAGCCAAAUAAUAUGGGCCUCGCAUUCAAUCACUUUUGAGUUGAGGCUUUUAAUAGAUUUGGUUCGAUGAGGCUGUCGAUAAGAUACAUACUGGAUUUUGAUGUUUUUUUAAAUUAAAUUUUGUCAUUUUAAGGUGCAACGGGGUUCAUUAGUUAUUUUUGUUGUUUCUUAAAACCACAUGUUGACGUAAAUCGCAGAGUCAGAAAUGCAUAAAAAUUCGCAACUUUGCACAAAAUGCAGGCACUACUUUUGAGUUCAUCUAUGUAGAAUGAUAACCAAAACGAAUUUUUUGCCAUGAUUGAAAUUAACGAGUAAAAGUUAUUACACAUGUUUUGUAAAAAACUUGAUAAUUUAUAAUAAUAAAUUAAUAAUUAGUGUUGAUUUAAUUCAUCCCAGUUUUUCUUAAAUAUUUGAAAACUUGUAACUCAAAUGUGGUGAGAAAUUAUCUUCUGUUGAAUGUUAGAAUUAUUAUGAGUAGGACUUAUCUUCAUUCUUCGUGUGGUAAAAUACCAAAGAAAAAUAUUAACUUGUUUGAAAAUCAUGCUUAAAUAUUAUGUGAGCCCAAAAAUCAUCUCUACGAAUUAAAUCAACACCCGUUAAAUCAAUUUCAGUACACAAUUUACGACAAAAUUUAAGCAUUUCUUGGCUUAAAACUUCUCACACGUAAAAGUUUGGUGAGAACAACCAUAAAAUUUUACGAGAGGAGAAAAAUCUAGAUCUUUUGCUGUAUUGUAUUUCGUCCCAUAUCCACGUACAUAUUUAUAUUUUAAGGCAUGGUGCUUAGAUUAUCUGAAGGAAAAGAUCGUAUACCUUAUGUCCGCUUAAUUAUACGUGAAGACAUUAUUUGUGAAACGUUUUAGUUUAUAUUCGUCUUGCAAGCUGGGAUUUUUUCAUGAGGGAAAAGUGGGUCCCAAUCUAUGUGCAUAUUUAUGUUGUAGCGAUUCAGAAAAAAAUGUUUCAUUGCUUUGGUCAACGUCAUGAGCAAUUAAGUUGUAAAACGGAAUAUGUAUGUGUGAGCAUACACUCUUGGCAACUUGGUAACAAAACCCGGAAUUUCGUUAACACCAACCGUCGGUGUCAACUUCAAUUCCAUUAAAUGGUGUCAAGAUAUUAUGUAAAAAUGACACUGAGGAAGAAAAAUGCUUUGACACCCUACCGGUAUCAUACCUUUUCCUUCCUCCUCCACGAAAAAGUCAACAAAAUGCACAAAUUAAUUGGUGUGUUCAAUUAAUUUCAAGAGAAAAAAUGGUUUUUUAAUAAGUUUAAGGAUUACUAAGUACUUCCAAUUUUUUGACUCAGGUACGUUGAUAUAUGCAACACAUAUUAAUUUGCCCUCAUUUAAUUUCAAUUAUUUUACUGUGUGUAUUUUUAUUUUUGAAAACUUAUUGUUUCCAGUACAGCUAAAAUUCGACGCUGGACCCAACGAGGAAGCCAAAAUUGACGAAUAUGGAUUUGUCGACCCUGCAAUCUAUUUAAUUAUUACUAAAUUUCUUGUUGCAAAGUUAAUUGAACUUAAAGAUUUACUCAUAUUCUAGAUCAUCACCGUGUUAAAUACAUAUAAGCUUUUUCUGUAAAAGUGCAUAAGGUAUGAAAAAAAUUAUUUAAUUUGUGCGAGUGUAAUAAUUUGUUACUUGUGAAUAUGUAUGUUUGAACUACUCGUUUAAUUUAUUAAAUGCUUAAUAUUAUUGAAUAUAAAAUAAAACACUUGUUACUAAAAUUGUAGUUCAGUUGUUACAAUCCGGGGACAAUUUGUCACCAGGUGGUGAUAUUCAUAUAUUAAAAUGAACAUAUAUUGUUACCUAGCAGUGUCGAAUCAACAUAACUGAGCACAACCUCUUUUCCAUUCGCUGUGUUGGCAUUGUUACAACGGUAUGUUGGGUUGACACCGCAGCGGUGUGGAACAUAAUUGACACCACGCCGUGUCAAUUUGACACCAAACCGGUAGAGUCAUAUAUAGACACCGGCAUGGUGUCAAUUCGGUGUCGAUUUUUCUGUGAGUGUAUAUGCACUAGCAUAUGCACAUAUUUAGAUAUCAUAUGCACAUGUUUGUAGAGAUGAAAUGGGAGAGAUAAGCUAAAUUUUGUAAAGUGCUGAGCCAAAGAUUGGAUCAUAUUUCAGUUAUGAUUACGGAUAUGGAUAGCUAAUUAUGUGCAAAAAUGUGAGGUUGCAAGCCUUAUGUACAUACGCAUAUAUGUACCAAAUGUGUCUUUACGAUGACUCUUACUAAUUUAAAAACGAAUCAACUAUGUACAGAUUUUUACCAGGCAGAGUAUGAUCUUAAAAUGACAAAUUUUUCUACUUUAUUCUAAAAUAUUUUGGCAAAUUCUGACCAUCGCACAAACUGCCUCAAGAAACGUUGGUUAUAUGGACAUCGACUAUUUAAUUUUAGAAUUUCAACCAAAUCGGAGGGUCACACUUCACACCGUCGUAUUGUUAGUGUAAAAUUCAGACUGCGUUUACUUACUUUUCAGGAGGACAUUAUUUUUAAGAGGGUGGAAUUGAGUGUACAUACACAAUAUGUAUGUAUGUACGUAAUAAGUAGUCUAAUUACAGUAGUUUUUUUACAAUUGGAUACCCUAUUGAAUACUUUUACAUUGGAUCGUCAUUUCCAACAAAUUCCUGCACACAUAUUUUCUCUUUACAAAUAUACGACAUAAAUUUCUGGUGACGACAUAAAUUUCUGGAGCAGCCAUGAAGAGGUGUCGCUUUUCCAAUCCAAAAUUCCAGAAAUACCUGCCCAAGGUUUACCAAAAUGCACAGAUUUCUCGUCGGGAAUUGGAACCAGGAAUGCAAUACCACAUGAAGUAAUCUGCCAUCAAGCACCAUCAUCAUGCACAAUUUCGGAAGACGCCAAGCAGAGGAAGUGGGGGACAUAAAUACUUCAUUGCUUCUUGGAAUUAAGGUUAUCGAAGUGAAUUACUUGAUUUUUAGUUUAAGUAUAAUUAAUUUCGAAAAAGUACUUAUCGUUAGAUAUGAGUUCGUUAAUUAUUAUAUUUAAGUUUAGUUUAAUUAAUAUUAUUUCGCUAGUUUAAAAAAUUGGGUGUGUUUGAAAUAAGCACAAAUAGCAAGGUCUGUCUUUGGCAAAACAAAAUGUGAAAAGCUAAAGUUCAAUGUACAAUCGUUCCAAACUGCUCAGCUACCACAAAGUAUAGUAAAGGGUGUUAAUAA